AGCAGCCGCGGUAAUUCCAGCUCCAAUAGCGUAUAUUAAAGUUGUUGCAGUUAAAAAGCUCGUAGUUGAAUUUCGGGAUUGGCGCAUCGGUCGUGCCUUACGGGGUAUGAACUGGUGCAGUCAAUUUCUCACCUUCUGGAGAACCGCGAUGUCCUUAAUUGGGUGCCGCGGGGAACCAGGACCCUUACUUUGAAAAAAUUAGAGUGUUUAAAGCAGGCAUUUUUGCUUGAAUACAUUAGCAUGGAAUAAUAAAAUAGGACGGCAUGGUUCUAUUUUGUUGGUUUCUAGGACCACCGUAAUGAUUAAUAGGGAUAGUUGGGGGCAUUAGUAUUCAAUUGUCAGAGGUGAAAUUCUUGGAUUUAUUGAAGACUAACUACUGCGAAAGCAUUUGCCAAGGAUGUUUUCAUUAAUCAAGAACGAAAGUUAGGGGAUCGAAGACGAUCAGAUACCGUCGUAGUCUUAACCAUAAACUAUGCCGACUAGGAAUCAGACGAUGUUAAUUUUUAAUGUACUCGUUUGG
rnacentral:rRNA from 1 species